rnacentral:rRNA from 1 species
GAUAAACGCUGGCGGCGUGCUUAACACAUGCAAGUCGAACGAAGUUUUUCCUUCGGGAGAAACUUAGUGGCGGACGGGUGAGUAACGCGUGGGUAACCUGCCCUGUACAGGGGGACAACAGCUGGAAACGGCUGCUAAUACCGCAUAAGCACUUAGCACUGCAUGGUGCAUAGGGAAAAGGAGCAAUCCGGUACAGGAUGGACCCGCGUCUGAUUAGCCAGUUGGCAGGGUAACGGCCUACCAAAGCGACGAUCAGUAGCCGAUCUGAGAGGAUGUACGGCCACAUUGGGACUGAGACACGGCCCAGACUCCUACGGGAGGAAGCAGUGGGGAAUAUUGCACAAUGGAGGAAACUCUGAUGCAGCGACGCCGCGUGAGUGAAGAAGUAUUUCGGUAUGUAAAGCUCUAUCAGCAGGGAAGAAAAUGACGGUACCUGACUAAGAAGCACCGGCUAAAUACGUG